rnacentral:rRNA from 1 species
UGCGUAGGCGGUACUAUAAGUCAGUGGUGAAAUGUUGCAGCUUAACUGUAAAAUUGCCAUUGAAACUGCAGUACUUGAGUUAUCUUGAAGUAGGCGGAAUGUGUAGUGUAGCGGUGGAAUGCUUAGAUAUUACACAGAACACCGAUUGCGAAGGCAGCUUACUAAGGGUAAACUGACGCUGAUGCACGAAAGCGUGGGGAUCGAACAGGAUUAGAUACCCUGGUAGUCCACGCCGUAAACGAUGAUAACUCGCUGUUGGCGAUACACAGUCAGCGGCUUAGCGAAAACGUUAAGUUAUCCACCUGGGGAGUACGCUCGCAAGAGUGAA